rnacentral:rRNA from 1 species
CGAACGGACGAGAAGCUUGCUUCUCUGAUGUUAGCGGCGGACGGGUGAGUAACACGUGGAUAACCUACCUAUAAGACUGGGAUAACUUCGGGAAACCGGAGCUAAUACCGGAUAAUAUUUUGAACCGCAUGGUUCAAAAGUAAAAGACGGUCUUGCUGUCACUUAUAGAUGGAUCCGCGCUGCAUUAGCUAGUUGGUAAGGUAACGGCUUACCAAGGCAACGAUGCAUAGCCGACCUGAGAGGGUGAUCGGCCACACUGGAACUGAGACACGGUCCAGACUCCUACGGGAGGCAGCAGUAGGGAAUCUUCCGCAAUGGGCGAAAGCCUGACGGAGCAACGCCGCGUGAGUGAUGAAGGUCUUCGGAUCGUAAAACUCUGUUAUUAGGGAAGAACAUAUGUGUAAGUAACUGUGCACAUCUUGACGGUACCUAAUCAGAAAGCCACGGCUAACUACGUGCCAGCAGCCGCGGUAAUACGUAGGUGGCAAGCGUUAUCCGGAAUUAUUGGGCGUAAAGCGCGCGUAGGCGGUUUUUUAAGUCUGAUGUGAAAGCCCACGGCUCAACCGUGGAGGGUCAUUGGAAACUGGAAAACUUGAGUGCAGAAGAGGAAAGUGGAAUUCCAUGUGUAGCGGUGAAAUGCGCAGAGAUAUGGAGGAACACCAGUGGCGAAGGCGACUUUCUGGUCUGUAACUGACGCUGAUGUGCGAAAG